rnacentral:rRNA from 1 species
GACAGAGGAUGCAAACGUUGCUCGGAAUUACUGGGCGUAAAGCGCGUGUAGGCGGUUUCGCACGUCCGGUGUGAAAGCCCAGGGCUCAACCCUGGAAGUGCACUGGAUACGACGGAGCUGGAGUACUGAAGAGGAGUGCGGAAUUCCCGGUGUAGAGGUGAAAUUCGUAGAUAUCGGGAGGAACACCAGUGGCGAAGGCGGCACU